UACGUAGGGACCGAGCGUUGUCCGGAAUCACUGGGCGUAAAGGGCGCGUAGGUGGCGCGACAAGUCAGUGGUGAAAGUUCGACGCUCAACGUCGAAUCGGCCACUGAUACUGUUGGGCUUGAGCACUGUAGAGGCUAAUGGAAUUCCGGGUGUAGCGGUGGAAUGCGUAGAGAUCCGGAAGAACACCCGUGGCGAAGGCGGCUCUCUGGGACGGUACUGACGCUGAGACGCGAAAGCGUGGGGAGCGAACAGG
rnacentral:rRNA from 1 species